rnacentral:rRNA from 1 species
CAGGAUGAACGCUAGCGACAGGCUUAACACAUGCAAGUCGAGGGGCAGCAUAAAAGUAGCAAUACUUGGUGGCGACCGGCGCACGGGUGAGUAACGCGUAUGCAACCUACCUAUCAGGAGGGGAAUAACCCGGCGAAAGUCGGACUAAUACCGCAUAAAACAGGGGCACCGCAUGGUGAUAUUUGUUAAAGAAAUUCGCUGAUAGAUGGGCAUGCGUUCCAUUAGGUAGUUGGUGAGGUAACGGCUCACCAAGCCGACGAUGGAUAGGGGAACUGAGAGGUUGGUCCCCCACACUGGUACUGAGACACGGACCAGACUCCUACGGGAGGCAGCAGUGAGGAAUAUUGGUCAAUGGGCGGGAGCCUGAACCAGCCAAGUCGCGUGAAGGAAGAAGGAUCUAUGGUUCGUAAACUUCUUUUGCAGGGGAAUAAAGUGCAGGACGUGUCCUGUUUUGUAUGUACCCUGAGAAUAAGGAUCGGCUAACUCCGUGCCAGCAGCCGC